AGAGGAACAAAAACCAGUUGUGUGUGUUAGUGUGUUUAUAAAAAAGAAAAGACCGUGAAAAGGGAACGGGGGAGUGCGCUUUACUGCCACUCUUUGUCCGCGUCUCCACAUCCGCGUGCAUCCAGGGGAUUUCUGUGGAUCUGCGUGUGGAUCUGCGGUCGUGUUUGGUUCGGUCCGAUUCUGGUGCGUAAUGUGGGACCCGAAACGGGACGCGUCGGUAGCGGUCGCUCUGCGGGGUCCCUUCGCGUCGAAAAUUGGAGAUUUAUAGAAUUGGUCAAGCACCCAAAACGGGGGGAGAGGGAGAAAGAGACAGAAAGAGAGAAAAUCCGUUUGGCUCUCUGGCGCGGAGGCCCCUGGACCCGUGACGAGGUAGACCCGGGUCAGUGACGAGGUGGACCCGGGUCCGCUGAGGCCCUUGGACCCGUGACGAGGUAGACCCGGACCCGUGACCAGGUCCCAUGGGCUCUACCGGAAGAGGCGUGACUUCGCCACUAUUGGACUGAACAGGGAUAUCUGGUACUCCAUCGAGGGACCCGUCCACAGCCCGCUAAAACAGCUGCAAUACCAGGCUUGGCCGCUGUGCAAUGGUGGAUUGCGGAAGUAUGAACUGCUCCUGGGGGCCUGCUCUGGCCCCGGGCCCAUGCUCGGGCCCCCCUCCAGCGCUGGACCCAUCUCCACUCCCCAGGAGUCCAGGAGAGGUCCCGGGUGUGAAAUCAGGAGACUCAACCUUGUUUAUCGUGCCUCCUUAUCAAUAAACACAAUUUACAUGCCACUGUUUUGUGUCGCCCAGUGUAUUGAUUAAUCAAGCUCAUCGUUAAUACAUAAAUGUAUUAUAUGAACCAGUGUCAAUCCAGCAUAAAGAACAAAUUCAACUUUCUGUGUGAUAUGGACCAUAUUUUGCAAUUCCAGUAUAAGUUUUUCUUUUAAAAAAAUAUUAAGGACAAAACGCAAGGGAAACAUAAGAAUGUUAUGAAUAUUAAAUAAAGAC
ensembl:lncRNA